ensembl:lncRNA
AUGACAGCACAUUGAUGCUCCAGUUGUAAUCACGGAGUUAGGUCAUGGCAGGCGCACUGGGGACAGUUACCUGGAUAGCACACUGCUCCAUCUCCGCAUCGUCAUUCCUCUGACAGAGGAGUGAACUCACACAGGAAGAAUUUACACUCACAUAUGUAAAGAUAAUCCAUUUAAGGUAACGUACUGUCUCCAGUUAAAAAAAUAACAAACGCACAUAUGUACUUGAUAUUUGUGGGAUAUUUCCAGGUACCAUAAACACACUGAGACAUUUAAUUUUCACUUAUCUUCCCACAACCCUUCAAGAAACUGUUGAUUUUGCUGAUGUGUAUGGAGAUUAAGAAAACUUACACUUGCCCAAAGUACUCUUUUGUAUAUACCACAAAUCCAGGUAUAGCAGAGACUCUCUCAACCUGUGUAUAUUUCCCUAUAUAAAGAUAUGUAAUCUCUGAUCUUUUACAAUUUUCCUAUUUAUACACCGCCUUUAUACAACUCUAUAGGUUGUGUGUUAGUUCUUUCAUCCUGUACCUCUUGUAGACAUAACUACUUCCAUAGGAAUAUGACUUAAAGUAGGGGCUUUUAACGAAGUCAGAGAACCCAGGGCAAGUGUUACAUACAAAGUAAAAGAAGCCACAGGGAACGUUACAGAGGAAGUCAGAGACGCCCCGGGGAGUGUUACACACAAUGUCAGAGACGACAGGGGGAGUGUGAAAAAUGAAGUCAGAGAUGCUAUCAGGGAUGUUACGAAUUCAGAGACACCAAGGGGAGUCUUGUGCACAAAGUCAAACACACCAGGGAGAGUGUUACACACAAAGUCAGAGAGACCAGGGGGAGUCUUACUCACAAAGUCACAGACGGCACAGGGAUGUGUUACACACGAGGUCAGAGACACCAGGGGGAGAGUUACACACGGUCAGAGACAACAGGGGGAUUGUGACACAGGAAGUCAGAGAAACAACUGGGGAGUGUUAUGCACGAAGUCAAAGACAACAAAGAGAGUGUUACACACGAAGUCAGAGACGCCACGUGCAGUGUGACAGACGAAGUCAGAGAUGCAACAGAGAGAGUUACACACGAAGUCACAACUGCCAGGGGCACUGUGACACAUGAAGUCAGAGACGACAGGUAGACUGUGACACUCGAAGUCAGAGACACGUCAGGGAAUGUUUCAAACCCAGUCAGAGAUGCCAAGGAUUGUAUUAUAUAUGAGGUCCAUGAUGCCAGUGGCAGUGUUUCACAAAAAGUGAUAGACGUCAGGGGGAGUGUGACACACGAAGUUAUAGAUGCCACGUGGACUGUGACACAUAGGCAGACAUGACAGGGGGAAGGUUAUGCACGAAUUCAGAUACGACAUGGAGAGUAUGAAACACGAAGUCACAGACGACAUGUGGAGUGUGAUUCACAAAGUCAGAGACCACAGCUGAAGUGUGAAAUACGAAGUCAGAGACGCCAGGAGGUGUGUGCCACAUGAAGCCAUAGACGAACGUUCAACUGUGACACAUGAAGUCAGAGACAACAUGGAGAAUGCUACACACGAUGUGAGACAAGCUUAGGGGAGUGUUACACACAAAGUCGGAGAUGCCACUGGGAACCAUAAGAACAAAGUUAUAGACGGCAGGGAGAGUGUAACACAAGAAGACAGAGACACAAUGGCAAGAGUGACACAUGAUGUUGGAGACUACAGGUAGAGUGUUAAACUCGAAGUCGGAGAGGCCAGGGGGAGUGUUACACACAAAGUCAGAGAGAGCACGUGGGAUGUUACACACGACAUCAGAGACUCCAGGGGGACUCUGACACACGAAGUCAGAGAUGCCAAUGUGAUUGUUACACACAAAGUCAGAGACACCACAGGAGAGUGUUAUACAUGACAUUGGAGACACCAGGGGAAGUGUUAUACAGGAAGUCAGAGACACCAGGGGGAGUUUUAUGAACGAAGUCAC